rnacentral:lncRNA from 1 species
AAAAGAAUUAGGACACGAACACGACUAGAGCAUUUGUGAUAAAUGUAAUUGUAACACACUGGAUUUUUGCAAAUUGCGGGGUUCGAGUGUUUGAUCUAUGAUCCGAGCUUUUUCCAGUUAUUCUGGAGGGUCGUUGACAGUGUUCCGACCUAUGGUUUGUACCCCGAGAAUUGAGGUUUGAAGCUUUGCACCAAAACCCGAAAAGUCGGAUUUUUGGUUAGCUCUCGGGUAGCCUUCAGCAAGCUGCGUACCGGUACAGGGUUGAUGGCUGUACCGGUACAGGGUUGAUGGUUGUACCGGUAUGGACUCGUGUACCGGGACACAGGCAGCUUCCCAGCCAACCCGAGGCUCGGGUUUGGCAUUUUCGUGGGAUGUGUACCGGUACACGGGCCCGUGUACCGGUACGCAGUGACAGUUUUUGAAUGGUCGAACUGCGGGGGUGUUUUUGCAAUUGUGGCUGUUCUAU